UGAAAGGCCCAAAGCACGCAACAUCCAUCGGCUGGAGAACAUGGCUUGUGUGAGGUGGUAGAACAAACAGGAUUAUCCCCUGAUCAACAGCAUAAUCUAUCAGAUGAGGGGUGAUGUGAGACCUGUGGCCGUCAUAUAUGUAGUGUUUAGCCUUUUGUUAAGCGGUAUGUUUACUAGCAGUAUUACCGAGGUUAUGUCCCUUGUACAAUAUUAUGGGAUAGCAAGUAAACAAUCAAGCAUG